rnacentral:rRNA from 1 species
UACGGAGGAUGCAAGCGUUAUCCGGAUUUAUUGGGUUUAAAGGGUGCGCAGGUUGUUUGAUAAGUCAGUGGUGAAAGUCUGUCGCUUAACGGUAGGAUUGCCAUUGAUACUGUUGGACUUGAAUAUGGAUGAGGUAGGCGGAAUGUGUAGUGUAGCGGUGAAAUGCAUAGAUAUUACACAGAACACCGAUUGCGAAGGCAGCUUACUAAUCCAUCAUUGACGCUGAGGCACGAAAGCGUGGGGAUCAAG